AACUGUUUGCAUACAGUGGGAGGAUAAAUGUUACUUGGCUGACCAUCCUGGCUUGGUGCUGGUUUCCACUACAUAGGUUAUGCUAGUUCAAUUGGGAAAUAAUGGGUUGAUUUUGGCCAAGAAUACAAAAAAGAACGUGUUGAUUUCAGGUUCUUCUAUUUCAAUUGAAUUUUACUUUUGUUUUUGUUAUAUAGUUGUUAAUUUGAUAAUUUUACUAUCAUCACAUUCAUUGUUGGAUCAUUGGAUGAGAUUGCUAACAAAAUUAUAGAUCGAUUGGAUUGACAUUAUUGGAUGAGAUUGCUAACCAUUGCUUAUCUUUCUUUCUUUCUCAUAUGUCUUAUUUUGUUCUUCCCUAGUUUGAAGUAAUAAUGCAGGUGUAAUGGCUCCUCAAUUCACGUUUUCCCAAGACAAUAUUGAACUACAAUUUUCCACCAAUCAUUUAGGUCAUUUCCUAUUGACAAAUGAGGUGUUGGAGAUCAUGAAGAAGACAGUUCGUGAUAGCCAAAGAGAAUGAAGGAUUGUUAAUGUCUCC